CGGCAGGCCUAAUACAUGCAAGUCGAGGGGUAGAGUUGGAGCAAUCUGACUUGAGACCGGCGCACGGGUGCGUAACACGUAUGCAACCUACCUUUUACUGGGGUAUAGCUCAGAGAAAUCUGAAUUAAUCCCCCAUAACAACAGAUGAUGGCAUCAUUAACUGUUUAAAGCUGAGGCGGUAAAAGAUGGGCAUGCGGUGUAUUAGCUAGUUGGUGAGGUAAUGGCUCACCAAGGCUACGAUACAUAGGGGUUCUGAGAGGAUGAUCCCCCACACUGGUACUGAGACACGGACCAGACUCCUACGGGAGGCAGCAGUAGGGAAUAUUGGUCAAUGGACGCAAGCCUGAUCCAGCCAUGCCGCGUGCAGGAUGACUGCCCUAUGGGUUGUAAACUGCUUUUAUAUGGGAAGAAUAGCAUAGAUUCAUCUGUGUAUGACGGUACCAUAUGAAUAAGCACCGGCUAACUCCGUG
rnacentral:rRNA from 1 species